rnacentral:rRNA from 1 species
GACGAACGCUGGCGGCGUGCCUAAUACAUGCAAGUCGAACGCAGGGGGGACGGGUGAGUAACACGUGGGUAACCUCCCAUCAGAGGGGAGAACACUUGGAAACAGGUGCUAAACCGAUACUGAUGUAUGUACCCGCGGUGCAUUAGCUAGUUGGUGAGGUAACGGCCAACCAGGGCCACGAUGCCUAGCCGACCUGAGAGGGUGAUCGGCCACACUGGAACUGAGACACGGCCCAGACUCCUACGGGAGGCAGCAGUGGGGAAUCUUCGGCAAUGGACGAAAGUCUGACCGAGCAACGCCGCGUGAGUGAAGAAGGUGUUCGGAUCGUAAAGCUCUGUUGUUAGGGAAGCGGUAUCUACCCAGAAAGCCACGGCUAACUACGUGCCAGCAGCCGCGGUAAUAC